GAGAGAGAGAGAGAGAGAGAGCCUAGAUCUUAGUUUUUUAGAUUUCUUUCUUUAUCCUUUAGUCGUGAAGAAUCGUGGGAUUUUCGGUUUUUGCGUUGCUGGGUUUUUUGGGAUUUCUGUUAAUCUGAGUCCGAUUCUUGAUGGGUUCCUUGUACCAUGUCUACUGUUUACUUUUAAUUAUGGGGUCUGAAUGUGUUUCUUUUUGACUCGGUGAGUUGUUGUUAUUAGAUCUGAGCAAAUGGCAUGUUCGAUGGCGAUUCCUCCUUCCCUGUGUGUUUCUUUGCGGUAGAAGAGUCGUGCACGGUUGGCCAACUCGGUUUUUUUUUUUUUUAUCUUUGUCUGUUAGGAGACUCGUGUUUCUGACUAGGAAAUUGGUGAGUCGAAUCGGAAGGUAACUGGGUGACUUGGUGAGUGGGAGGUGGGAAGAUCGAGCCUCGUGUAGGACCGAGGAGGAACCAAGCGGUAAUAAUGCCGUCGGUGGGGAUGCGUCGUACCACUAGGGUGUUUGGGGUGGUGAAGGUCGUAGAUGGGGCCCGGGUUUUGCGCUCUGGUCGGCGAUUCUGGCCGGGAUCAGGUGACGCCAGGUUCAGGAGAGCCAACGAUGGGGACGAGUGGUUGCACACCAUGAUUAAAUCCACCGCCACUAACAGGAAUUACCAUAACCAUAGUUCUUUCAAGUACAAAGAACAAGGAUGGACCCAUGAUUCUAAAUUGAAGCAAGAAGCGCCUGCAGUUGAUACUCGAACGCCCAAGAGAGUGAAUCAUGGGAAUUUGAAAGAUACUGAGAAAAAGAUGUUUGGGGUGGUUUAUAGUAGAAAAAGAAAGAAAAUGGGUGUAGAAAGUCAGAACACUUCGGAGAGUAAAAUGUAUGGGAUUCAGUUUUCGCGAAGGCAGCGAAGGAAGCAAGGGGAACAAUUCGAGCUGGGGCUUCUUAUUGUUGUUGAGAGUUCUUGCGGUGGUGGGUUAACUGCUUUUUUGAAUUUGGUUUUGGGGUAUGUUAGGAGGGCUAGUUUGAGGUUUUCUAAGCUUACAGCUUUCUUGUCGACUGAGCCGGUUAGCACUGCUUUUGCUUCAAAUGGAAUUAGUUUUGUUGAGGAUACAACUGCUAAUAGAACUGGAUUUUGCAAGAUUUUUGGGGCUAGGUGUACAGUGCCUAUAUUUUCUUUGGAUUUUUCUGCAGUUCCUUUCUGUUUUGUAUAUAUGCAUCUCAGUUUGCUGCUUAGGGUUAAGUGUCUGUCCUUUGUACCUGUAAAUACCUCACUGGAUGAGGAGUCAUGUGAUGAAGAGUGCCUAAGUGAAGAUCAUUCAUGCGGCCUUGUGAAGACUGACACAGUGCCAGAGACUGGUAAUUCUGGAAAUAAGGUGGUGUUACAUCCAUCUGUGAGAGCUUCCAAAUUUGCUGGCUGCAGCAACCAAUACAGAAAUGGCCUAUAUUCUCGUAGUAUUCAAAAGAGGAGGACUUCACUUAGGAGGAGGAGAGCUAGAAAUCCUUCCCUGAUUAGUGUACACAAGGAUAAUGGUGCUUUAGUUUCAGAUCUAAUAAGUAGUAGGAAAAAUGGUAUCCCUUUUUCUUCUGUGGUGUAUAAGAACAAGCUUAGGAGUUCAUUGCGGAGUAGUGCUGCAGCAAACCUCAGCAAAAUAAGUUCUAGUGUGGUUGAAGUAACUCAGGCCAUGGACUCAUCAAGCUGCUCUGCAAAUGUACUGGUUAUUGAAUCAGACAGAUGUUACAGGAUUGAAGGGGCCACUGUCACAUUAGAAAUCUCUGAUUCAAAAGAAUGGUUGCUUUUAGUGAAGAAAGAUGGGCUGACCAGGUACACGCACUUGGCACAAAAGAGUAUGAGACCUUGUUCUUCCAAUCGUAUUACUCAUGAUAUAAUAUGGACUGGGGAUGAUAAUUGGAGAUUAGAGUUUCCUAAUCGACAGGACUGGCUCAUAUUCAAGGAUCUUUAUAGGGAAUCUUCUGAUCACAAUGUGCCAGCUCCUGUUUGUAAGGCCAUCCCUGUGCCUGGAGUAUGUGAAGUUUUUGGAUAUGAAGAUAGCAACAGUAUGCCCUAUUUUAGACCAGAUGCUUACAUUUCUUUAAACAAUGAUGAGGUAGCUAGAGCUCUGGCUAGGAGGACUGCAAUUUAUGACAUGGAUUCUGAAGAUGAGGAAUGGCUAAAAAAGUUCAGUAAUGAAUUAUUUGUUGAAAAUAAGCACCAAGAGCAUCUUUCAGAGGAUGCUUUUGAGCUAAUGAUUGAUGCCUUUGAGAAGGCUUUUUAUUGCAGUCCAGAUGAUUUUGCUGAUGAGCAAGCGGCUAUAAAUCUUUGUAUAGAUUUGGGAAGGAGAGAAGAAGUUGAAGCUGUGUAUGGUUAUUGGAUGAAAAAACGGAAGCAGAGACGAUCAGCACUUCUUAGGAUUUUU
rnacentral:misc_RNA from 1 species